rnacentral:rRNA from 1 species
AGAACGAACGCUGGCGGCACGCCUAACACAUGCAAGUCGAGCGCCCAGCAAUGGGAGCGGCGGACGGGUGAGUAACACGUGGGAACAUGCCUUUCGGUACGGAACAACUGCGGGAAACUGCAGCUAAUGCCGUAUACGCCCUUACGGGGAAAGAUUUAUCGCCGAAAGAUUGGCCCGCGUCUGAUUAGCUAGUUGGUGAGGUAACGGCUCACCAAGGCUUCGAUCAGUAGCUGGUUUGAGAGAACGACCAGCCACAUUGGGACUGAGACACGGCUCAAACUCCUACGGGAGGCAGCAGUGGGGAAUCUUGGACAAUGGGGGAAACCCUGAUCCAGCGAUGCCGCGUGAGUGAUGAAGGCCUUCGGGUUGUAAAGCUCUGUUCUCAGGGAAAAGAAGUGAUUGUACCUGAGAAGAAAGGACCGGCUAACUUCGUGCCAGCAGCCGC